rnacentral:misc_RNA from 1 species
GCUUUAACUGAUAAAAAAAAUCAUGGUUAAAUGAAUAAAGAAAUCGUUUUCAUACAAACUAAAUGCACCAGGAAUCACACCAGAAGAUAUUUAUAUCAGUUUCCAAACACCACAAUUAAAAACACCAUCCCCAUCCCACACCACGCAAUCGUUCACAAAUCCAACAGCUAUUAAUAUUCUGCCUUGUAAAUGAAAAUUGUUUACCAGGACAAUAUUGCAUACAUUUGUUUGCCUUAUAUUGCCUAAAAGAGAACUUACGGAUAACAAGGCAACAUGAUGGAAGUUCAAAUCGGCAAUAACGUAAACAAAAGGAAAACGCGAGUGUUCACAAUGAGAGAGAGAGAGAACUGGACAAAGGACAAAGCUCAAAAACACAGAUACACAUUUAUAAGGGCAGUUUCUUUAGUUUGCGCCAUCUUUAUAUACAUUGUCUGCUCAGACCAUCAAUGCACACAAGAUGUGUGAAAGGAGUUGCAUAAACUCCACAAUACAAUAUGACCAAUCUUUAAAUAAGCUCUUCAGCUUUCUAGUAAACAAUACCUGCAAUUAUCCAACCAACAAAAUAAAAUUUAGAUGCACAUAAAUCAAGCACAAUGACAUUGGCUUCCUUUGGAAUAAAACAUUCAUAAGAAAAUAAUUCAAUUAAAUUGUCAAAUAAUUAUGCAUGAUUUCUAUUUUAAAACAAUUUUUUUUAAUUAAAAAAAUUAAAUUCUUCCAUUUCAAAUAUAGAAAUUAACUAAAAAGAAAUUAAUUGAAUUCUUACAAAAUUAUAGUUUCUAAACAUAGGGACUAUGAUUUAGUUACAAGAAACAACAUUGAGGAAUGUGAACCAAUAAGUAAAUCCAUGACACCGAUCUUUUUUUUUUUUUUUUAUUAAUGUAA